UCAAAUACGGAUAAAGUACUUUGCCAAGUAGCAAAUAUCUGUUUAGAGGCUAAAUUCUGAACAUCCUUCUUAAAUAUCUGUUUUGCAGCUGAGCAAUCAACUCAGAUUAAAAAGUGCUGAUUUAAAAGAUCAUCCUGAAAUUUUAAAACACAUUUAACAAUUGAAAGACAUUCUUUUUUAAUUGUGGUGGUAAUUUAAAGAAG
rnacentral:lncRNA from 1 species